CGGGCGCUGCCCUCAGCCGGGCAGCCUGGGGCGGGAGGAGGCACCGGGGUAAUUGACAAUAAAGGGCAAAGCGUGUGUGCAGGGCAGCUCUGCCGCCAGGGUGGAGCUGGGCACAGGCAGCGAGUGCUCAAAAUACUCCGGGGACAGCUCUUCACUUCAAAAGGGCAGCACUGGUCGCCCUUACUUUAAAUAGGAGAGAGGGGAAGAGGGGGGGGAAGUUAACAUGAGUUAAGAAAUUGGUAAGGGAAGAAUUAACCAAAUCUCUUUGACUUUCCUACACAACCUGAAAGGAUUUUGUGAUCUGAGCAGAAAAAUGUCAUCUGUAAUUGUUAACAUGUACUUAAAGAAAUCCUUUGCAUGUGGGGUAUUUAAUUUUAUUUCUCUAUGCACAGGAAACCUGGAACUGAAUUUACCAGGCUCAAGUUGAAGGAGAAUUCUUACCGUCUUCUGGGGUUUUUUCCCCAGUCUCCAGAGCAGGAUAUCUAUCUCACAACUCACUGUUGCUGUCAUCUCUUUCAUUGAAAAUUGAUAUUCCUAUAGUUUCCCUCAGUGAAACAAGCCUUCCUCAAGCUGUGAUAAACGCUUAUCAACAUUUCAGUCUGUUGGAAAUUUUAUACCUUUAAAUGCUGGGACAGAUUCCCUGGGAGGCUUCCAUGGAAGAUGAAGGAACUUGUGAGUGCUGUCAGUUUUUCAAGGACACUCUCCUGGAAGCACAAAACCAGUUCAUGCUCUCUAAAGGUAAGGAGAGUAGGUGGAAUAAGAGACUCCCUGGGCUUAAAUGAGAGCUUUUGGGUCUGCUCAACACCAAAAGAGAAGCGUACCAGAGAUGGAAAACCCAUGGAGAACUACAAGGGCAUUGCCAGGGUGAGCAGAUGCUGUGAGAAAAGCAAAAGCUGAACUCAAUUAAAAUUGGCCAGAGAGGUCAAAAACACAAGAAAGGGUUCUUUGGGUACAUGAACAACAAACAGAAGGAAAUAUGGCCCACUGUUCAGCAGCAGAGGUGAGCUGGUCACCCAUAAUGUUGAGAAGGCAGAGAUUCCCAACACAUUCUUCACCUCUGUCUUCACCUUGGAACACAGGUCCCAGAAUCGAAAAUCCAGGUUUAUAGAAACACUGACAAAAACACUGAAACAACUGUUAGAGCUUGUCUAUGAGCUGUCACAGGAGCCUGACCCCUACAAACCUAUGUGUCCUGAUGUUACCCAUCCAAGGGUUUUAACAGAGCUGUUUGAUGUCGUUGCAAGGAUGCUGUCCAUAAUCUUGGAGAAGUUGUUGAUAUUAGGGGAUGUCCCAGAAGACUGGAAGAAGGCUAAUGUCAGUCCAUGUACAAGAAGUGCUUAAAGGGGGAUCCAGGAAAUUACAGGCCUGUAAUUGGAGUUUUACUCCAUUCCCUGGGAAAGUUGGGGAACAAAUUCUCCUGGGGAUUCUCACAAGUCAAAUGAAGCACAUGACUGGGAAAAGCCAGCAGGGAUUCACUAAAGGCAAGUCAUGCUUGACAAACCUGAUCACCUGACAACACAAUGACCUGCUCAGUUGAUGUGGGGUCAGCAAUGAACAUGGCUUUCAGUAUAUUUUCCCAGAGAGACUCCUCCUAAACUGCUGGAUGCUUUAGGGUCUAGACAACUGGUCCAUGCAGUGGAUGGGGAACUGGCUAGCCAGACGCAGCCAGAGGAUGGUGGUAAAUAGCUCCUUUGCAAACUGGCAGCCUGUGACAAGUGGAGUCCUCCAGGGACCAAUAUUGGCCCACAUCUGUUUAAUAUCUUUAUAAGUGAUCUGGAUGGGAUCAAGUAUAUCCCGAUGAAGUUCGCUGAUAAUACCAAGGGGUAAGUGGACACUUUGGGAGGGAGAGCCACCCUGCAGGAAGACCUGGAUAGGCUGGAAGAGUGGGCUGCCAAGAACUUCAUGAAGUUCCACAAGGACAAGAAUUUGCACCUGGGAAAUACAAUUCAGGAGUGCAGCACAGUUGUCAGCCAGAGGGACCUGAGGGUCCUGGUAGACAGCAAGCUCAGUACGAGUGACCAGGGUGCUGCUGCUGCAGAAAAGAAAGCCAAGAAAGGCUGGACCAGGGUCCUUUCAACCUGGUACUAUGUGGUACUAGGAUCGAACAGAUCUUACAGCCUAUCUACAGGAAGUAAUUAGUCAGCCCUACAUAACUGGAUGUCAUUCACUGUGGAUGGCUGGUCUGCUUUCUAAAGAACAUACCUGAAAUUAUUGAUCCUUAUUAGAAAUGUGUUUCAAUAAAUGCCUUAAAAUUAGCUGUAACAGAAUGAAAAAUUUUCAGCCAGAAAAAAUACACAUAGGAAAAAAAAUUAGCACCCAAAAUGGCAAUGCAUUUCAAAUGUUUCUGUUAAAACACUAAAAAAGAUCAACACAAAAGUUUAAUGAUGUAGUCUCAAGCUUGCAGACACAGGAAGCAUGCUACCAUAAAAUCAGGGGAAUAGAUUAGCAAUCUAGAGACCAGAUGGUUAGUAUUUACUUGCUGACAUAACACCACCAAAUGUUCCUAAAUUUCUUUUUUAAAUUUGUCUUUCACAUUACAUUAUCAGCAUAGGAACUGAUCUUGCAAACAUAUACAUAAAGAUUUCAACAUAUUUAUUCAUUUGUGUAGUCCCAUUGACUUUAGAACAGGACACUGUUCACAGAACCAGGCUGUCACCUUGGGGUAAGUCUACAGAGUUGUAAACUAUUUGCCUACAACAAUUUGGGCAGGCUAAGUAUCUGAAAAAAAAAUAUCCUGUAUACAUCUUUUUAUUCUGUUUUUGGUUUUUUUCUUUGCAAGAGAGAGCACUUUAUGGAGAAUAUGAUAAAAGACAUUCCCCAUCCAUAAAUUUAUCUCCUGGUCUGGUGGAUAACUGUUAAACUUGGCAGGGCCUGAAAUAAACAGAAGUCUUAAAAUGCUUCUCCAGUUUGAAGUCGAGUAAAACUAAAUUUUAAAAAUUUUGCAAACAUUUUUACUCAGCAAAUUUUUAAUACCAGCAUGAGAAAAUGUUGUUUAAUUAUUACAGGAUCCUCCUACAAAUUACUUAACCUCUCCCCUCUGUGAAAAAUAUCCUUGAUUCCAAAUGUUUGUUCAGAGCCUUAUUUUCCUCUGGUGGGAAAAACUGUCACUCCUUGCUCUACAAUGUUUGUAACUUGUUUAAGUUACCUGUAGGGGCUCUCUAUUCAAAAUAUACAGAAUUUUACUAGCAUUAGCUUACCAUACUCAAAGUUUUCUCCUUCAGCUUUAUAUUUUUUCUUUCAUUUUCACUUUCUAAAGUGUUGUGUUCCCUCAUCCCUGUCAUUACUGGGGUUUUUUUGGAGUCAUUUACAUUGCCCUUUUGUCCAACAUAUUUUUUCCCAACUUUCAUCAAAAACUGCUUCUCAAUUUCCUCCAUGUUUCUCAAUGUCUCAUUUUCUCAUCUGCCUCCUCAGGUUCAUUUUCCUUUAUUGUCACAUCACUUGCAAAGUCACCUGCCUCCAGGCAGUGUAUUUCCUCCCCUAUUUAAUUUUUUUUUUCCAUUUGCACCAUCUGUGUGUGUGUACAUGUAAUGGAAGCACUUCAUUUGGUGAGAGUGAUAUCAAACUGAGUUGACCCCGUUACUGCCCUGAAAAUAAGAAUUUUGUUUUCUUAUGCUACAGUUUCUUUGUUAAUCACACUUCUAGAAGCCAUGAGGGAGAUCCUUUAAUGUCAUAGUUAAAAUUAUAAACUUGGGUAACUCCUCAUGUGAUCCCCUUGAAUACUUAUAUACUCAGCUCCCUACUUAUACAGACACAGCAGCAAUGUCUGUCUCUGUUUUACAAAACCAGGAAUUCUACCUAAGAAUUUUAAUUAUAGGCAGGUCUUUCAAGUUACUUUUUGUCUGGAUAUUACAAACAUUCAAAUAUCUGUACCUGCAGCUGACUGUCCCAUGCAGAUGAAAAGGCUGUGACUACCUUAAAAAAAAAAAAAAAAAAAUCCCCUCAAAAAACACUCAACCUUUUUUUUCAAGUAGACCUUCAGUGUCUACAGAAACAAAAGCAACAGCAGCAAAAGGAGACUAUGGGUAGGUGGGGAAUUUUCAGCUUGUCAAAAAAGCACUAGAAAAGUUCUGUCAUACAUGAAACUUGUAAUAUUUGUCUAAAGCUUUGCUGUGUUCACUCUCUAGGAAAAAACAGGGCUAGAACACAGGUAAUCUGCAUGGAUGGGAAUAAAGCCUUUUGUUAAAGAGAUGAGGAUUUAAAACUUUAACUUCUAAAUGUAACUACUAAAAGUGAUGUUUUAUAUAGAAAAAGAAAUCUCAGAACCACCAGAAAAACCAUUUCCUUUAAAGCAGUUAUGUUCAGAAUCUCAUCUGGAAUGCUGUGUGUCAUUCUGGUCACUCACCUUUAAAAUGGAUGAACUCAAAAGAGCAAAAUUAGCAAAACAGUCAUCAAAAUCCUACCUUAUAAAAAAGUAUUAUCCGUCAGAAGAAGGGUUGCAUGGGGCAUGACCUCUAGCUCUUAAGAGUAAAUAUAAAUAAAGCAACAAAAUCAGCAGUGAUGCAAGAAGAAAGCUGGUAUAAAUUAAUCAGGAAUAAUCCUAGAAGCAAUUUUAUAGGUUGCAUUUACCUGUCUGUAAUGCAGGUCUUCAUAUAAUUCUGGGGACAAAACACCUAACUCAUUUUAAGGUACAGGUUCACACAUUUACAAAAGAGAUUAUAUGACAUGGUUCCUUGUGGUAGCAGGCAAGGAAUAAGAUUUUCUCCAUUCUUGUGUUCCUACAGAUCUGGAGCUGUAAUAACAGGGAAGGAGGGGGGCUACCUACUCUACAGUACAAGGUUCAGCUGUGCUGCCAUUGUUACCACUCUUUAAUUGGAUUUAAUUGCUAUAUGAUUCAAGUAGAUAGUAAGAUUAAAUACUAUUAAUUCCUGUGGAGUCAGGGGAGAAUUUCUUUAUAUCUUGCUGUAAACAAGUUAAAGUGUCAGGAGGCACUGAACACGUAGCCCACCUGAAUGCGUGACAGAUCUGCAUCUGAAAUGUGUAAAACUAUCUUUGCAGAAUCAGAAAAGAAAUUUGGCAUUUUUCCAAUGAUGCAAUCACUGUAGUAAAGGUGGUGUGAGGGACAGUUACUUUGUUUAUAUUUCAGCAGCCACCAUUUUCUCCAAGUUCAGUCUUCUACUACAUUUGCUUUAUCCUGUUAUCAUUAAUUAAAAUCAGUAGGAAUGGGCCACAUUUCGAUAUUUAAUAACUUUUAAUCUUCAUACCUGGAGGACCUUCUAAGAAAUAUUUCCACAUAUUAUUAAUUUGCUUGGUGAGUAUAACCUUCAUCCUGCUCAGCAAGCAUAAUUAGAGAUUAAUUUGUUGUGUCAGGGAUUUAAAAUAUUUUAGCUCACCUUUAGGCAACAACAUAUUAAAUUAUAUAGGAGAAUGCAAAUACCUUCAAAGACAAAGUUUUUAGAAGGGACAUUAUUUAAUGUAAGAAUGGAAAAUGGCCUGAGCUCCUUGUACUAAUUCUUUCGUUUCUAUAUUGGAAUCCAACUUUUGCUCUUGCCUGUACAGUAAAACAGGCAGAAAUAUGGGAUUUUUUUAAGGAGAACACAAAAGGAAAAGGCAUAUAGGAAAUUCUACCGGCCAAUUUUCGAAUUUCAGUGAAAGAUUAUUUAAAUGUCACGUUUCAUGGAGGAGCCAUCGAGAGCUGGUGCUGCAUCUCAGCUCCCUGGGUCCAAUCCUCCGUGCCUGCGGCUCCCUCGUGUGGAGCAUCCCUGUCCAUCUGGGCAUCAGCACCGCGGAUCCUCACCCUGCCAGCAGCGACUGUGAACCUCUCACUGGGCUUGUCAUUCCCAGUACCCCUUGCUGUCCCUCUGCCCAGCAAUAAGCAGUAAGUUUCUUCUUUUUCUUUAUUUCAUUUGAUAGACAUUAUAUAUAUGUAUAUACACACAGUACAAUACUUUUCUUUUGUGAUAGAGAAUAAAUGAAAGUUUUCAUUGCUGGUUGUUUGUUAAGUCAACAGAUUCCAGUUAAUAAUGAAAAAAAUUUAAACGUUUAAUAUCAAAAGCAACUUCAAGUAUCUUCUAUACAUUUUAGUAUUCAGUAUAUAGGAAGGUGUUUUGGGGCUUUUGUUUUUAUAUCAAAAAAUGUAUUUGAAUAGACUAUUUUUACCCUCAUACUUCAGAGUACUAUUCAUAUCAGGCAUGGAGUUUAAAAUUAUGUAUCUCAUGGUCCCAACUAGCUCUUCACAAGAACCAUAGGUCACUUAUACAAUCAGGCAUAUGUUUCAAAACAGGGUUUAAUCAUCAGCAAAGUCAAGGUGCAAUAAUCAUGUUUAGAAAUUCACUAUCUCAUUCUCCUAAAACAGAUUAAGCUGCAGUCCUUGAUGUGAAGCAAUAUACAGCACCACUGUUUGCAAAACAAUACCUGACUUAGGCAUAAAUAGUACUUCAGUUCCCCGAGCUAUUUAUCCCUUAACCUUUCUGUAAAAAAAUAAUUCAACUUAGGCAUAUAUUGCACUAAUUUUAUCAUACUGGAUAGCUCUCACCCUGCAUUACGUUUUCUUUGCUGAACUAGGAUUACACUAGGGUUUUAAUUUCCAUUGAAAACCUGGGAAUAGGGCAACAGACACACAUAUGGUGUGCAAUAAAUGGUUAUCUAUAAUAGCAAUAGUAAUCUCAGAGGCAUUCACAAAGGAAACUACACAUUAGACUUGGAGAUCAUUUUCUCCAGUAGAUUCAUCAUUCUCUCCUGUAACUGUAAGCUUUGAACUUGAAUGAUGUUCUGCUGAUCCAGGAUCCUGCGCACUUCUCUACAGGUUUCUUCCAUAGCUCUACUCAACUUCUUUUGUUCUUCCAACAUGGCUUCCAUUAAUUUUAGCUUCUUCUUUUGGAAACUGCAGUUUUGCAUUUUUCUUUUCUUAACUGGUCUUUCUUCAGCUCUGAAAUGUGAAUAUUUGUUAGAAAUUAGAGUCAUAUUUAUAAAAAGAAAGAACCCAAAAUUUGAUAGCAUAUUCUUGGCCAAGCUACAACCUAAUCAUAUUUUUAAACCCCUGUGUUCUCCAAUAAAUUCCCUCUCAAGUUUGUGCCAAAACAUAAGUAUUUAAUGUAUUAUUGCAUAGUGUUACAGAUUGUAAAAAAAAAAAAAAAAAAGAGAGAGAUUUUACAUCUCAUUGUUUUUAAUAAGAAUUUUCCAUGCAGAAUACCAGACUUUUUUUUUUAAUCUUGACAUGUCUUACACAUUGAAUUUAUACACUGUACUGGGAGAGAUAUUUGGUUUAUAUGGCCCAUUGAAACUCCAAUUUUAAAGCUGCAAUAACCAUCCCAAUCCAGAGAAAGUGCUGCAUGGUUACCUCUGGUGGUAUCUUACAGCUUGUUUUUUACAGCAUUGCAUCAGUGAGGCUGGUCCCACUCCAGAAUAUGAGUCUCAGAAUUUACCCUUGUGCCAAGACACAGCAGUGACACUGACCACUCUUUUUUUUAAACAUUCCACCACAAAAUAUUAUAAACAACAUAAAAGCCUGAAAAGACAGAAAAAUACCUGGGGGUUCUGGUUGACAGUGGCUGACCAUGAGCCAGGUGUGCCCAGGUGGCCAAGAAGGCCAAUGGCACCUGGACUGGGUCAGCAGUGGUGUGGCCAGCAGGGCCAGGGCAGUGACUGCCACCCUGUACUCAGCACUGGUGAGGCCACACCUCCAAUCCUGUGUCCAUGUUUGGGUCCCUCACAACAAGAAAAACAUUGAGGGGCUGGAGCAUGUCCAGAGAAGGGCAAUGAACAUCCUCAUCUGAAACAUGCAGAGCUGCCAUUUGGAAUUUGGGGAACAUUUUAAGAAUUUCCUCUAUGCUUUAUCAUGCUGGGUUUCUGAUUUGGAAGAGAGAUUAACAUGGCAAUAAAGACAGUGCUCUCAAGGUGUAAAGGUUAAAUGGCUGUCCUAACUUGGGGUGACAGAGCCACACAGUCAAAACCAGCCCAUGUGGCAUGCAAGUGAGAGCACACACACAAAAAUCUGUGUCUCUUAACCUGCAGCCUAAGAAGGAAUCAUGCUAAACUGUGAAAGAGGAAGAAAGGCAAGUAGAAAGCAUAUGUGUAAGUGUAUUACACAUCUGAGAAACCUCCAGUUAGAGCUGGAUAACUCCUUUCCUAACUUUAAGUGAGAGACCAUGUCUUCAUUUACACUUUUUGUAACUCCACACUGGAGUCCCCAACAUCAAAGAUGUCUGAUGAUGUGUCUUGAAGUCCCUUGACACAAACAGCAAUCUCAGUCUUGUUCUGCCAAAUGCAGUAUCCUUUCUAGGUGAAAUGCAAUAAUGAGAUAGUACAGUUGGGACUAGAAUGCCAUGUCAACAUGCUCAGAUUUUAAGACAUCCUUGAAUAAGGAUAACUUGAACUCUUGAAGAAUGUGUUUUUAUUAAUGUGAAGAAGGGUAGUGGGGGUGAGGUCACUCAGCUGUGACAGAUUUGUACCAUAAUUUGAUUCAUGUUCUUAUCCUACUUGACAGGCUUUGUGCAGCAGCGACUGUGACAUUCAGAUCUGUCAGCAGGAGAGAUAAACAAUCCUUAACACCUGAAAGGCUUAAUGCAAAUAUAAGAAAAAGACACAAGCCCCUUGACAUUUAAGAGUGCAGUGACCCAAAAAGGUUGAGAUACUAUCUACAUUGGAAGGUAUAGAAUAAACUCAGCUUUGCAGGUUCUAUACAGCAUAUUUGAUUUGGGGCAUCAAAUAAACAUGAACAAACUGUGGGUCUGCUCAAACUGUGGGUCAAGCUUGCUGCUGAUCACUGAAAUUAUCAGUCUCACAAUCCUGUGAGAAUGGGUCCUGGCUAACACUAAAUUCUGAUUGUCUCCCUUACCUCUAAGGGUCAGAAUUACUUUAAUGUGGUUCUCAAAGAGGUCAAGCAAGUGGGAAAGAUAUACAGCAGUCUAAGGACAGCACUGAAUCUGCUAUUCCAAGGUUCCCAUCACUGUAGUCACAUUCACAAAGAAUGCAUGGUUUCUGGUAGGCAGAGCAAGAAACUUUCUGAAAUGGUGAUAUUAUUUUAGCCAAAGUCACCUUUUGAAUUUAAACUUGUCUUCAGAGAGGAUUUAAAUGAUGGAAACUGGAAGAAUCUCUAUUAUCUUCACCAUACAGUGUUAGAAAGUAGCUGUGGUAAGACCUCCUGUCAUGAAGCCAGUACAAACUCACUCCACAAGAGGGCUUGUGUGUUGUCAACAUAAACACUGGUGAGAAUGGUCCUUGACAAGGAAUGAGAGAGAAAAUCUGAGGCUUGUCAAUAGCACUGAGAUGCACUGAGCAUUGUGUGUAUUUCUUGGUAACAGUAGCCACCAUUUGGAUUUCAAUUUCAACUGAGAUGACAACAACAAACAAACAAAAAAAACCCAUAAAAAACCAAGAUGGAGUGAUUUAGAUUGAAAGAUAUAAAAUAAGCCUUAUUUUUAAGUAAAAAGAAUCUUUGAAGUGUUUUCCUAGAGUCUCUAAAGGAUUUUACCUGUUUUCAGUUAAAUCCAUCAAAGAACUGUAAGACAUGAAACCAUACAUCUAAAACAGUGUCUUGCACAGCUCCAGAAAGAAAGGAGCAGCAAAUUUUUACUGUGGCAACAGUAUCUGCAGUCUGCUAAUAACUAAAAAAGUACUCACUGAAGAAUGCUAUUUCAGAACUGUGUUUUAGCAGAGAAGUUCCCCCAAAAGCAAUGACCCAAGGAUUUUUCAAGGUCUCCCAAGUACUCCCUACAUUUGUUUACAGUAACAAAUACAACUUGGUAAUUAGACCUUCAUUGAAAAGAAAUACUUAUUUCAGAAAUUUUCAGGAAGGCCUAGCUUUGGUAGUGGUCCCAAUCUCCUUUUCUCUCCACUGACUGAUACUGGAAGGGUUCUAUGGUCACUCACAAGUUCACAGUAAGGAACUGGCACUUACAAUCCUCUCCUCUUGCAGAAUUGCUGCUGAAAGGGAGCUCUUGAGAAGGGCCCUACAAAAGAAGGCUCUAAAGAAUCUAAUUUACAAGCUAAGAGCACUUGCAACAUGAAACAAUGUAAAAUGUCCAGUGAUGCCCAUCCAGUGAUGAGUUAUUUGAAUACUGAAGUGUUUCCUCAGAUUCUGAGCCAUCUUUCUUGAGAAGUUCUAGGUGUCUAGGCAACAUGUCAGAGACCCCUCUCUGUCAGUAAUUUUUUAUAACAAACUCAGGAGAAAAGCAGAGAUAGGAAUGUGGGUUCAGCACCAAGUAACCCAAGCAGCACCAGUGUCCUAAACAGUUCCAGCUAGGAGCAUCUGUCCUUUGCCAAUGUAUGGGCACAAAAAUAAGCAACUACUGAUGAUGGCUGAUCAAUCAGCUCCUGAUGCCCAUUGUCCAUGUGCAGCCAACACCUCUGUGACAGCAGGGGUGCAGCAGAUCCUGACAGCAUCCACAAGCUGCUGAAGGAGCACCUCCCUCCUUGCCAAGCCCAGUCUCUGAAGGCAGAUUUUGAGGAAAAUUUCAGGAAAGAAGGGUCUGGGGAAGUAAGGACCUCAAAUACAAUCUGCUGGCUCUCUUCUGCUGGGCUUCCAGUACCUAUGGCAGAGUAUACAAGAGAUUGGCAUUGGUAUUCCUCUGACCACAUGGACCAAGUGUGGAAUAUUCCAAACAGAACCUCGCAAAGCUAUUUCCCUGCUAUGCUCUAAAGCAGACAGGCAGGGUUCCAAGGAAGCAAACCAAGGGAAAGAAAUUGUUCCAUCUCACCUAGGAGACUGAGCAGAAAUGACUGUGUGCAAUGGACAUGAGGGGGAACAAAGCAAAACCUCCAGAUACAAUCAGGCAACAUAUUAGGGGAACUGUAUUUCAGCUUGUGACUGUGUAACCAUCUUGCUGCUAAAUGACAUGGACAAUAUUCUAUUGCACAAAAUUCUGUCAUAGUGGAGACUGUGAGAGCACGGCUGAAUUCCUAAGUUAUGGAGGUCCUGCAAUCCUGAGAGCUGCCCUGCCCUUCCCUGCAGCUCCCAGACCCUCCUGAGCCACCAGUGCAGCCACUCCAGUAGGCAACAGCAGCAUUGCAAGGGCUGAGUGGCAUUCCCUGCCCCAGACUCACAGCCAGCUGAAAGCCAGCCUGUGCCACUAGGGGCUGGAUUUAAAUGAGAUGCAGCUUCUAAAUUUAGCCAGAGAAAGUUAAAAUAUUUUUUACUAGAACAGGUUAGGGCAUUUCCUUGGAUAAAAUUAUAAAUAAAUAAAUAAACAAACCAGUGAACCUGAAGCUGGCUAAAAUGCAUCACAGCCUAAAUUUUCCAGAGCUUAUAAUUUAAUGACUGAUUUAAGUCCAUUUUAGCUGUAAAUGAAAGCACCUACAUGAGAGCGAGAGUCCACCUGCAAACUGUGGGCAUAACAGAUGUGGGUUUGGGGUUGAUUAACUUGAUCUCUGUGAGGAAUGUCUAUGUUCUAUAGUGAAGCCUGGUGUGGCAGCCUCUGUCCUCUUAUGGUACAAAAUCUGUGCUGCCCUGGAGUUGCCCCUAAGCUGAAAAAAACUCAACAUCCAAUAUUUUUAAAAACCCUGAUGUUAUGAAGUAGUCAAGUGAAUAAACUCCACAAUGUUUGUGGAAAUGUGACCUUCUAAUUAAAUAUUAAAUAAUAUUAUUUUAAAUCCAAUUGGGAAUAAAGUUAUUGCAUCUGAAAUGUGAAUGUGGAGUUUGCAAAUCCUAAAGUCAAGUGAGUUUGUGUAUCAGGAAUAUCAACUACUUAAAAUGGACUAGGUUGAAAAGAAAAUUGUUGCUUGUGAACAAAAAGGUUGCUAUAGUUCAAAAGUUAUGCACCCUAGUAAAUAUUCGUUGCCAAAAAAAAAGUUUUAAGAAAUAAUCAGUUAUUCAAGGACUAUCUGCUUGAAUGAUUGAAUGAAUUUAACUUAGUUUUAUUCAUCCAAGAGUGGGUCUGGAAACAAUAAUUCGAACUUGCUCGGUUGGUUCUUCUUCCAGCUCAACAUCUUUACAGUUGCAGGACUGACAGGUAAUUUUACUGUUACAGUUAGAGCCUCACACACUCAUGAUAAGAAUCUCUAGGAUCAACUUUUUUCCUGCCAGAAAACUGUAAUCAGCUCUUAUUUCACACCACUCUGGAUGAAAAAUGAGACCAGUAAAGUCUGAAAUUUGUAUCAAGAGUACAAUCCUGCCUUUUGUUAAAAUGCUGCCUUCCAGGGAACUCCAAUCAUAUCCAAAAAAAAAAAAAGAAUCACAUGUUUGCAUCUCAAACUAGCAUUUACUUUGAAAAAAAUUACAUUCUCAAUUGUAUUUAAAAUAAUGCAAUGUACUUUCAAACUGCAUGAGCAGCUUUUCAGUGUCCACAGAAAUAUUUAUUUUGCAUCUUUUCACUAUUUUAAUAAUAACUGAAGCCAGAGAAAUUUCAUACUCAUAUCAAAAGCAGAACUAGAGCAAGCCAAAAAUCAUCUAAGCAGUAUGUUAUAUCUCUGAUUGCACCACAGGACUCUCUUGAACAUGCCUGUACUCCUUUUAUGAACACUCUCCCUGAUGUGAGCCGUGACAUGCAUGCUGAGUUUUGGCAAUAAUAUACAACUUUUUGCCCAGUUCUCCUACUCCCUUCCAGUCUUUCAUAAAGGAAUAAAGAAAAUGCCCUAAUUCAGCAAAGUGAUUGAGAUUGGGGAACAGAUCUCAUUUGUGAUUUACAGAAAAAAUACAAGAGCUGUUAGAGAAAAGUGUGUGAGGGUGUUCCCUUUACACAGCAAAUUUGGUUCAUUCUGCAAAGUACUAAAAAGAGGGGAAAAUAGAUGCUACCUCAGCU